rnacentral:ncRNA from 2 species
CCAAUAGCGUAUAUUAAAGUUGUUGCAGUUAAAAAGCUCGUAGUUGAAUUUCGAGAUCAAUUUGUUGGUCGUGCCUCGGUACGUACUGGCAAUUUUGAUUUCUCCCUUCUGAAGAACCAUGAUGUCAUUAAUUUGGUGUCAUGGGGAAUCAGGACCGUUACUUUGAAAAAAUUAGAGUGUUUAAAGCAGGCUCGCGCUUGAAUACAUUAGCAUGGAAUAAUGAAAUAGGACGUUUGAUUCUAUUUUGUUGGUUUCUAGGAUCGACGUAAUGAUUAAUAGGGAUAGUUGGGGGCAUUAGUAUUCAAUUGUCAGAGGUGAAAUUCUUGGAUUUAUUGAAGACUAACUACUGCGAAAGCAUUUGCCAAGGAUGUUUUCAUUAAUCAAGAACGAAAGUUAGGGGAUCGAAGACGAUCAGAUACCGUCGUAGUCUUAACCAUAAACUAUGCCGACUAGGGAUCGGAUGAUGUUAAUUUUUUAAUGACUCAUUCGGCGCCUUACG